AUAUAUAUAUAUAUAUAUAUAAUGCAUUCUUACCGAGGUAAAAGUUCCUUAAAUGGAAUCCUUUCUCGAUUGUUCUAACUUUUUAUCAGCUCAUUGUCGUGUGCAGUAUCCGAGACAUGUUUUUGUCCUUUCAAAAGAAUACAGUACACUCGGUACUUACUUAUCUCUUCCGAUCGAACGGGGGAAUUUUCGUGAGUUCUACUCUUAAAAGAAAAUUGUGGGACAAAGUAAACAAUCCCGCGAUUCUCUACAUAGAUAUUUAUAUAUAUAAAGAAAAACGUAUUUUCUUCCGAUGCCAAAAUAAUGUUGUAUAUAAAUAGCAAAAUAGUAUCGAUAGUAGCAGUUAAAAAAAAAAGAAGAUGAUUAGCAUUUACGGAAUUUAAUUAUCGCCAUUUUAUUUUACACAAUUACCAUUCAGCAAAACGUGACUAGUUUGCUAGCAACGUGCCGGCUAAAGAUGCUGUUGUUGGGAAGAGUUAUAGAGAGAGAGAGAGAGAUUAUUUAAUAAAAGAUGAGGCAAAACAAAAUGGUGUACAGCAUUUUAGUAGUUUAAUCUAACAAAAUAAUUAUCACAUUGAUUACCGAAUUUAAUUGACGAUUGUUUUUACCCUCUGUUUCUGGAACGUUAUAUGUAUACGGUACUGUGUGUAUAUCUAGGCCACGCUUUAAUGUCUAGCGAGUAAUAUCAUAAGUUGUUAUAUAAAAAUAUCUUGCAGGAU
rnacentral:lncRNA from 1 species